UGGGCGUAAAGCGCGUCUAGGUGGUUAUGUAAGUCUGAUGUGAAAAUGCAGGGCUCAACUCUGUAUUGCGUUGGAAACUGUAUAACUAGAGUACUGGAGAGGUAAGCGGAACUACAAGUGUAGAGGUGAAAUUCGUAGAUAUUUGUAGGAAUGCCGAUGGGGAAGCCAGCUUACUGGACAGAUACUGACGCUAAAGCGCGAAAGCGUGGGUAGCAAACAGGAUUAGAUACCCUGGUAGUCCACGCUGUAAACGAUGAUUACUAGGUGUUGGGGGUCGAACCUCAGCGCCCAAGCAAACGCGAUAAGUAAUCCGCCUGGGGAGUACGUACGCAAGUAUGAAACUCAAAGGAAUUGACGGGGACCCGCACAAGCGGUGGAGCAUGUGGUUUAAUUCGACGCAACGCGAGGAACCUUACCAGCGUUUGACAUC
rnacentral:rRNA from 1 species